rnacentral:tRNA from 1 species
GGGGUAUAUAGCUCAGGAGUAGAGCAUCUGACUUUUAAUCAGUUGGUCCAGGGUUCAAUCCCCUGUAUACCCUUC